AAGGGGCGGGCCUAAAAAUGCAAGUCGAGCGGAUGAGUGGAGCUUGCUCCAUGAUUCAGCGGCGGACGGGUGAGUAAUGCCUAGGAAUCUGCCUGGUAGUGGGGGACAACGUUUCGAAAGGAACGCUAAUACCGCAUACGUCCUACGGGAGAAAGUGGGGGAUCUUCGGACCUCGCGCUAUCCGAUGAGCCUAUGUCGGAUUAGCUAGUUGGUGAGGUAAAGGCUCACCAAGGCGACGAUCCGUAACUGGUCUGAGAGGAUGAUCAGUCACACUGGAACUGAGACACGGUCCAGACUCCUACGGGAGGCAGCAUUGGGGAAUAUUGGACAAUGGGCGAAAGCCUGAUCCAGCCAUGCCGCGUGUGUGAAGAAGGUCUUCGGAUUGUAAAGCACUUUAAGUUGGGAGGAAGGGCAGUAAGUUAAUACCUUGCUGUUUUGACGUUACCGACAGAAUAAGCACCGGCUAACUUCGUGCCAGCAGCCGCGGUAAUACCAACGGUGCAAGCGUUAAUCGGAAUUACUGGGCCUAAAGCUCGCGUACGUGGUUCGUUAACUUGAAUGUGAAAGCCCCGGGCUCAACCUGCGAACGGGCAUCCAAAACUGGCGAGCUAGAAAUGGCAGAAGGGUGGUGCAAUUUCCUGUGGUAGCGGUGAAAUGCGUAGAUUUAGGAAGGAACCCCAUUGGCAAAAGGCGACCACCUGGGCUAAUACCUGCCCCCUC
rnacentral:rRNA from 1 species